rnacentral:rRNA from 1 species
CACGUAGUUAGCCGGGGCUUCUUGGUCAGGUACCGUCAUUUUCUUCCCUGCUGAUAGAGCUUUACGUACCGAGAUACUUCUUCACUCACGCGGCGUCGCUGCAUCAGGGUUUCCCCCAUUGUGCAAUAUUCCCCACUGCUGCCUCCCGUAGGAGUUUGGGCCGUGUCUCAGUCCCAAUGUGGCCGUCCACCCUCUCAGGCCGGCUACUGAUCGCUGCCUUGGUGGGCCGUUACCCCGCCAACUAGCUAAUCAGACGCGGAUCCAUCGUAUACCACCGGAGUUUUUCACACUGCCCCAUGCGGAGCCGUGCGCUUAUGCGGUAUUAGCACCUAUUUCUAAGUGUUAUCCCCCGGUAUACGGCAGGUUAUCCACGCGUUACUCACCCGUCCGCCACUAACUCAUAAAUCACUAGGUUUCAAUAUGAGUCCGUUCGACUUGCAUGUGUUAAGCACGCCGCCAGCGUUCAUCCUGAGCCAGGAUCAAACUCU